CAGUCGCCGCGGGAAUACGUAGGGUGCGAGCGUCAAUCGGAAUUACUGGGCGUAAAGCGUGCGCAGGCGGUUGUGUAAGACAGGUGUGAAAUCCCCGGGCUUAACCUGGGAACUGCGCUUGUGACUGCACAGCUAGAGUAUGGCAGAGGGGGGUGGAAUUCCACGUGUAGCAGUGAAAUGCGUAGAGAUGUGGAGGAACACCGAUGGCGAAGGCAGCCCCCUGGGCCAAUACUGACGCUCAUGCACGAAAGCGUGGGGAGCAAACAGGAUUAGAUACCCCAGUAGUCCCUGUCUCUUAUAC
rnacentral:rRNA from 1 species